GGCCAGACUCCUACGGGAGGCAGCAGUGGGGAAUAUUGCACAAUGGGGGGAACCCUGAUGCAGCGACGCCGCGUGGGUGAAGAAGCGCCUCGGCGCGUAAAGCCCUGUCAGCAGGGAAGAAAAUGACGGUACCUGAAGAAGAAGCCCCGGCUAACUACGUGCCAGCAGCCGCGGUAAUACGUAGGGGGCAAGCGUUAUCCGGAUUUACUGGGUGUAAAGGGGGCGCAGACGGCGAUGCAAGCCAGGAGUGAAAGCCCGGGGCCCAACCCCGGGACUGCUCUUGGAACUGCGUGGCUGGAGUGCAGGAGGGGCAGGCGGAAUUCCUGGUGUAGCGGUGAAAUGCGUAGAUAUCAGGAGGAACACCGGUGGCGAAGGCGGCCUGCUGGACUGCAACUGACGUUGAGGCCCGAAAGCGUGGGGAGCAAACAGGAUUAGAUACCCCGGUAAG
rnacentral:rRNA from 1 species